GAGUUUGAUCAUGGCUCAGGAUAAACGCUGGCGGCGUGCAUGAGACAUGCAAGUCGAACGAACGACCCCGGGCUUGCCUGGGGAAGUUAGUGGCGGACGGCUGAGUAACGCGUAGGUGACCUGCCCAGAAGUGGGGAAUAACUGCCCGAAAGGGUGGCUAAUACCGCAUGUGGCCACAUGUUCAUUCGUGUGACCAAAGCCGCAAGGCGCUUCUGGAGGGGCCUGCGUUCGAUUAGCUCGUUGGUGAGGUAACGGCUCACCAAGGCGACGAUCGAUAGGUGGUCUGAGAGGACGAUCACCCAGACUGGGACUGAGACACGGCCCAGACUCCUACGGGAGGCAGCAGUCGGGAAUUUUGCUCAAUGGGGGAAACCCUGAAGCAGCAACGCCGCGUGAGGGACGAAGGCCUUCGGGUUGUAAACCUCUUUUCUCAGGGACGAUAAUGACGGUACCUGAGGAAUAAGCCACGGCUAACUACGUGCCAGCAGCCGCGGUAAUACGUAGGUGGCAAGCGUUGUCCGGAUUUACUGGGCGUAAAGAGCGCGCAGGCGGUCGAGUAAGUCGAAUGUGAAAGCCCCCGGCUCAACUGGGGAUCGUCAUUCGAUACUGUUCGACUUGAAGAUGGGAGAGGGAAGCGGAAUUUCAGGUGUAGUGGUGAAAUGCGUAGAUAUCUGAAGGAACACCAGUGGCGAAGGCGGCUUUCUGGCCCAUUCUUGACGCUGAGGCGCGAAAGCUAGGGGAGCGAACGGGAUUAGAUACCCCGGUAGUCCUAGCCGUAAACGAUGAACACUAGAUGUUGGUGGUAUCAACCCCGCCAGUGUCGUAGCUAACGCAUUAAGUGUUCCGCCUGGGGAGUACGGCCGCAAGGCUAAAACUCAAAGGAAUUGACGGGGGC
rnacentral:rRNA from 1 species